rnacentral:misc_RNA from 1 species
AUAGUAAAUGCAGAACAAUCUUCCAACAGAAAAUGAAGAUCGGUAAAUGAUCGCCGGAAAUCGUGCAAUUUUCUAUCAACCACAAAAAAGACACUCCUGCGACAAUUCUAAUUCUUUACAUCAUGAACUUGAUUUUUCACAUCAAAUUCAACGUAGGGAGACGACAAUAUGGAAUAAAAAUCUGGAAAAAUUGGAGUUUUUGUUUCCGCCAUUCGGGGCUGAUUGAACUUUUUUGAAAUUUCGGAUCCAUUUAGGGACUACCCUUACUGCCCAUAGCAAUGAGAAGUAUGAGAUGAAUCGGUAGAUUAAUACAAUAACAGCAUAGCUGUUAACAAAAAUACAAGAAUGCAAAACUUAACAGAUCAAUUAACGAAUUAACAGGCAGUUGAAAAGGUUCAAGCGGCUGGUGGAGGCGGGAGUCUCAAAAGAAAGCAUCGGGCCGGAAGAGAUAAGGAUGCGAGGAGAAAUAAGUGAGUGUUCCAAGUAACAUUGGCAUGUGGCAUUAUCGGAUACGACAGAAUUAUCAUGCCGCAUACAAUUUGCUGUUCGUUGAAAACUUCAUUCAUGUAAAAGUAUCUCGAAUACCUCACUUAAGUACCAUUCUCAUAAUUAAAAAAUGAAGUCACAGCCGUUUGUCAAGCGUUUUGGCGUGAGG